rnacentral:rRNA from 1 species
AGUGAACGCUGGCGGUAGGCCUAACACAUGCGAGUCGAACGGCAGCACAGUAAGAGCUUGCUCUUACGGGUGGCGAGUGGCGGACGGGUGCGGAAUACAUCGGAAUCUACUUUUUCGUGGGGGAUAACGCAGGGAAAAUUACGGUAAUACCGCAUACGACGUACGGGUGAAAGCAGGGGAUCUUCGGACCUUGCGUGAUUGAAUGAGGCGAUGUCGGAUUAGCUAGUUGGCGGGGUAAAGGCCCACCAAGGCGACGAUCCGUAGCUGGUCUGAGAGGAUGAUCAGCCACACUGGAACUGAGACACGGUCCAGACUCCUACGGGAGGCAGCAGUGGGGAAUAUUGGACAAUGGGCGCAAGCCUGAUCCAGCCAUACCGCGUGGGUGAAGAAGGCCUUCGGGUUGUAAAGCCCUUUUGUUGGGAAAGAAAAGCAGCAGGUUAAUACCCCGCUGUUCUGACGGUACCCAAAGAAUAAGCACCGGCUAACUUCGUG